AAGGACGCUUCAUGCAUACCGCUACCGCUUGAUGGCAGGCCAACGCCAACAGCGGCACUUUCAUGUCAAAGG